ACACGCAUGUAUGCAUAGACACACCCUUGCGUUGUCCUGGCAGAGAAUUCAGUUUAUCUAAACUUCCUAAACCCUUUGCUUGCGAGAGAGAGGUGGGGGGGGGCACUGUAGUUGGCAGAGACACAGAGAUGAACAAAAGUCACAGCAGCUAGCUCAGCCUCCCUCCAUGUCUCCAGAGGAACUUACGACUUCCCUCUUGUACUCUGGCUGCCUCGCUGCUGAUUGUAAACAUCAUUUAAAAGAAAAUCUGAACCUGGGCCUUUUGACGUUCCCUGACCAGUUGCUCUGAUGCUGUGACCCUUUUCUACUCAGAAGGGAGUAAAGAAUGUCUGGAAGACUCUUUCAU